rnacentral:lncRNA from 10 species
AAGGAAGUGGCGGCGCAGGACGGGGCGGACGCAAAGAUGGCGGAGGGGCGGGCGCGCGGAGGACGCCUUUAGGUGGUUUCUUUUUUAUUUUCUUGGUUUUUUUUUUUUUUUCCUGACGCAUGGUCUCGUUGUGUUGCCGGGGAUGGAGUGCAGUGGCUGGAUCACGGCUUACUGUAGCCUCAACCUCUUGGGCUCAAGCAAUCCUUCCGCCUCAGCCUCCCUUGUAGCGGGGACCACAGGUGUACGUGAUUUUCUUAAAAUAUUUCAUAAAGACGGAGUCUCACCAUCUUGCCCAGGUCUCGAAACUCUACUCUCAAGCGACCCGCCUGCCUUGACGUCCCAAAGCACUGGGAUUACUGGCGUGAGCUACCCGGCCAGGCCUGCGUGCUUUUCUUAAGCCUUCUUUUAAAGUCCUAUGAAAAAAAAUGACCCUUUUCAUAGCCAUAGGGAGAAAAAACUAGAAGUUCAGAAAUGAUUGGGUCCAGGUGCCCAUUUUGCAUUGGGAGACUGUGCCCUGUGGAGUAUUCGCUUCCCGGUCGUGGGGCCCGUUCUCUGGGCCUGAGGCUCUGAGGAGCCCCUGUCCUCCAGCUGGUGGCAGGACAGGGCGAUUACCGCGCGGCUCACCCGCGUCCCCGACCCGGGUUCUCGCACCCUAACACACUGCUUUUAUUUGUUUAUUUAUUUGUUGAGAGGGAGUCUCACUCUGUCCCCCAGGAUGGAGUGCAGUGGCUCAAUCUCGGCUCACUGCAACUUCUGCCUCCCCGGUUCAAGCGAUUCUCCUGCCUCAGCCUCCCAACUAGCUGGGACUACAGGCAGGCGCCACCAUGCUCAGCUAAUUUUUGUAUUUUUAGUGGAGACAGGGUUUCACCAUGUUGCCCACACUGGUCUCGAACUUCUGGCCUCAAGUGAUCCACUCGCUUCGGCCUCCCAAAGUGCUGGAAUUACAGGCGUGAGCCACCAUGCCCAGACCGGCCUCAUUCUGUUUAACAGCUGCUUAAUUUUCUGUAGUAUGGUGACAAAGACUCUCCUUGACCAAACUCUAGCCAGGUUCCUCUGGGCUCCCUUCACUUCUAAGCCUCAACCUUGAUCUAUAGGCACUGUGGCUCAUGCCU